AGAAGGUAAAACAAGUCAAGUGAGCGUUGCAUAUCUUCGUGGUGUCGAAGUCAAUAACCUUCACACGACCACCAGGUAUGAUGAGCAUGCUGGAACAGACGUCAACGUUGCAGCAAACGCAAUGAGCCAUUGGGAACUAUCCGCAAAAGGUGCGCACAGUUCUACGCUAAUUGAUGACAGGCGACAUGGUGAAAAAGCAGGAAAAAGCAUACCAAGAAAUCCUCGCAAGUGCAAAUGCUCCAGGGCCAGGAUGAGCUGGGCCAUUAUUAUCUGGACGGCGUCGAUUUCCAAGAACUGUUCCUUGGUUACCACACGCAUAAGGUCCACGCCAGGAAUGUACUCCAUGAUGGCUGCCAGUUCUAUGUUUGUGGUGCUGAGAUGUGACAGGUCGACUGCGGCUUGUCUCAAUCUUCUGUGUCGUGGCGGAUCCAGACCCUGGGUAGUGGGGGGAGGGGAGAGAGGGCAAUCCAAUGUACAAUUU